AGAGGACCAGCAACCAUGCAUCUUUGUGACAGGGGUGGCUGAUGAGGACCAGGUCAAGGAGAAGAGUUUUCUUGGUCGUUGUUCACUGCCGGCGACAGCAUGUUGCUAGGGUUCUGUUUGCCCCAUUCAAACGAGUUAUGCCGAGGUCCCUAUUCCGGUGCCAAGUACCAACUUGUAGACUGGGCAGAGUGACUCAUAAUGUUACUGCCGCUGAUCAUGGAAAAAGUGUUCUUUUUGCCCAUUUGAAUUUAAUUUAUUUGUGUGUGCAAAUUGAACCAUUGAUUUUAUUAGCUUAUAUUGGCAAAGGCUACAAAAUAUCAAGAUUAUGAACAGAAAAUUGUUUCUC
rnacentral:lncRNA from 1 species